rnacentral:rRNA from 1 species
CGUACGCUUCUUGUUUCCUGCGGGGCUUGCUCCUCCGGAAAAAGAAGAGUGGCGAACGGGUGAGUAACACGUGGGUAACCUGCCCAUCGCAAGGGGAUAACACUUGGAAACAGGUGCUAAUACCGUAUAACAAUCGAAACCGCGUGGUUUUGAUUUGAAAGGCGCUUUCGGGUGUCGCUGAUGGAUGGACCCGCGGUGCAUUACCUAGUUGGUGAGGUAACGGCUCACCAAGGCCACGAUGCAUAACCGACCUGAGAGGGUGAUCGGCCACAUUGGGACUGAGACACGGCCCAAACUCCUACGGGAGGCAGCAGUAGGGAAUCUUCAGCAAUGGACGAAAGUCUGACCGAGCAACGCCCCGUGAGUGAAGAAGGUUUUCGGAUCGUAAAACUCUGUUGUUAGAGAAGAACAAGGAUGAGAGUAACUGUUCAUCCCUUGACGGUAUCUAACCAGAAAGCCACGGCUAACUACUUGCCAGCAGCCGCGGUAAUACGUAGGUGGCAAGCGUUGUCCGGAUUUAUUGGGCGUAAAGCGAGCGCAGGCGGUUUCUUAAGUCUGAUGUGAAAGCCCCCGGCUCAACCGGGGAGGGUCAUUGGAAACUGGGACACUUGAGUGCAGAAGAGGAGAGUGGAAUUCCAUGUGUAGCGUGUGAAAUGCGUAUAUAUAUGGAGGAACACCAAUGGCGAAGGCGGCUCUCUGGUCUGUGACUGACACUGACGCUCGAAAGCGUGAGGAGCAAACAGGAUUAGAUACCCUGGUACUCC